rnacentral:rRNA from 1 species
UUGGAGGGCAAGUCUGGUGCCAGCAGCCGCGGUAAUUCCAGCUCCAAUAGCGUAUAUUAAAGUUGUUGCAGUUAAAAAGCUCGUAGUUGAAUUUCGGGAUUGACACAUCGGUCGUGCCUUAAGGGGUAUGAACUGGUGUAGUCAAUUUCUCACCUUCUGGAGAACCGCGAUGCUCUUAAUUGGGUGUCGCGGGGAACCAGGACCUUUACUUUGAAAAAAUUAGAGUGUUUAAAGCAAGCUUACGCUUGAAUACAUUAGCAUGGAAUAAUAAAAUAGGACGGCAUGAUUCUAUUUUGUUGGUUUCUAGGAUCACCGUAAUGAUUAAUAGGGAUAGUUGGG